CCUACGGUUCGCAGCAGUGGGGGAUAUUGCACAAUGGGGGGAACCCUGAUGCAGCGACGCCGCGUGGGUGAAGAAGCGCCUCGGCGCGUAAAGCCCUGUCAGCAGGGAAGAAAAUGACGGUACCUGAAGAAGAAGCCCCGGCUAACUACGUGCCAGCAGCCGCGGUAAUACGUAGGGGGCAAGCGUUAUGCGGAUUUACUGGGUGUAAAGGGGGCGCAGACGGCGAUGCAAGCCAGGAGUGAAAGCCCGGGGCCCAACGCCGGGACUGCUCUUGGAACUGGGUGGCUGGAGUGCAGGAGGGGCAGGGGGAAUUCCUGGUGUAGGGGUGAAAUGCGUAGAUAUCAGGAGGAACAGCAGUGGCGAAGGCGACCUGCUGGACUGCAACUGACGUUGAGGCGCGAAAGCGUGGGGAGCAAACAGGAUUAGAUACCCUUGUAGUC
rnacentral:rRNA from 1 species